rnacentral:rRNA from 1 species
GACGAACGCUGGCGGCAUGCCUAACACAUGCAAGUCGAACGAGACCUUCGGGUCUAGUGGCGCACGGGUGCGUAACGCGUGGGAAUCUGCCCUGGGGUACGGAAUAACAGUGAGAAAUUACUGCUAAUACCGUAUGAUGACGUAAGUCCAAAGAUUUAUCGCCCUGGGAUGAGCCCGCGUAGGAUUAGCUUGUUGGUGAGGUAAAAGCUCACCAAGGCGACGAUCCUUAGCUGGUCUGAGAGGAUGAUCAGCCACACUGGGACUGAGACACGGCCCAGACUCCUACGGGAGGCAGCAGUGGGGAAUAUUGGACAAUGGGCGAAAGCCUGAUCCAGCAAUGCCGCGUGAGUGAUGAAGGCCUUAGGGUUGUAAAGCUCUUUUACCCGGGAAGAUAAUGACUGUACC